rnacentral:rRNA from 1 species
UACGGGGGGGGCAAGCGUUGUUCGGAAUUACUGGGCGUAAAGGGCUCGUAGGCGGCCCUCUCAGUCGGAUGUGAAAUCCCCAGGCUUAACCUGGGAACUGCAUCCGAUACUGGAUGGCUUGAAUCCGGGAGAGGGAUGCAGAAUUCCAGGUGUAGCGGUGAAAUGCGUAGAUAUCUGGAGGAAUACCGGUGGCGAAGGCGGCAUCCUGGACCGGCAUUGACGCUGAUGAGCGAAAGCUAGGGGAGCAAACGGG